CCCUUUGCGGGGGACAACAUUUCGAAAGAGAUGCUAAUACCGCAUAAGUCUGCUUCGGCAGGGAAAGAUGGCCUCUUCUUGAAAGCUAUCACCAGAGGAUGAGCCCGCGGCCCAUCAGUUUGUUGGUAGGGUAAUGGCCUACCAAGGCUUCGACGGGUAGCUGAUCUGAGAGGAUGAUCAGUCACACUGGAACUGAGACACGGUCCAG
rnacentral:rRNA from 1 species